GUGGUGACGUGUGGAACCUUACCUGGAGCCUCAGUUCCUUUGCAAUUACAUCAGAUGGCCCAGAUUAGAUUUUUCCACGGUGCUGUUGCAGUUUCCACUCUGCCCAAGUGACUCGACGCCACCUUUGCCAUCCCUCUGCCCUGUCUCCAACAACACAGCUCCCAGACUUUUCCCUGAAGUGACCUGGGCCUCCUUCCACUCCUCCUGAAAAUUCCUGCACCAAGACAAUGAUUCCUAGGAAAGGACAAGAGAACUUUGUGUACCAAGAACUCUGCUGACUACAAAGGGAGCCCAGAAUGACUCAUUUCACUGGAGGUGUCCAAAUUAAAUGCCAGCACUGCCUGAUGAACUCUACCUCCCCCUCUUUGAACCGAUUUUAAGGCAUAAAAAAGAGCAAUUCCAUCACCGAGUCAAAGAAACCCACGGAUUGUUUCACCGUUCUCUUCGCUGCUUCAGUUGGAGACUCAGUGGUGGAAGGGUGUUUGAUCUCCCUUUAGUCAUU